rnacentral:rRNA from 1 species
AGAGUUUGAUCCUGGCUCAGAACGAACGCUGGCGGCGUGGAUAAGACAUGCAAGUCGAGCGCUGAUUGUCGGGUAGCAAUAUUCGGCAGUCGGAGCGGCGCAAGGGUGCGUAACACGUGGGUAAUCUGCCAUGAAGUUUGGAAUAACUUGCUGAAAGGCGAGCUAAUACCGGAUGUGACCGUUGGGAGGCCUCUCCCGAUAGUUAAAGCUGGGGACCGUAAGGCCUGGCGCUUCUUGAUGAACCCGCGGCCUAUCAGCUAGUUGGUGAGGUAACGGCCCACCAAGGCUAAGACGGGUAGCUGGUCUGAGAGGACGACCAGCCACACUGGAACUGAGACACGGUCCAGACACCUACGGGUGGCAGCAGUCGAGAAUUUUUCACAAUGGGCGCAAGCCUGAUGGAGCGACGCCGCGUGGGGGAUGAAUGGCUUCGGCCCGUAAACCCCUGUCAUUUGCGAUCAAACCUCGGUAUUUAAAAGAUGCCGAGCUGAUAGUAGCGAAAGAGGAAGGGACGGCUAACUCUGUGCCAGCAGCCGCGGUAAUACAGAGGUCCCGAGCGUUGUUCGGAUUCACUGGGCGUAAAGGGUGCGUAGGUGGUGAGGUAAGUCGGAUGUGAAAUCUCGGAGCUUAACUCCGAAACUGCAUUGGAAACUACCUCGCUAGAGGGUUGGAGGGGGGACUGGAAUGCUUGGUGUAGCAGUGAAAUGCGUAGAUAUCAAGCGGAACACCAGUGGCGAAGGCGAGUCCCUGGACAACUCCUGACACUGAGGCACGAAAGCUAGGGGAGCAAACAGGAUUAGAUACCCUAGUAGUCC